rnacentral:tRNA from 1 species
CAUUAAGUGGCUGAAAACUCCAAGCGUUGGUCUCUUAAACCAAAUUAUAGUAAAAAAUACUCUUAAUGG